AAAAGAAAGGAAAAGAGAUUUGAUUUCUGUGGCUGAGAACCACUCCAACAGAAGAUUUUGUGAAGAAUGAGGUUGAAGCUAUUGGUACAAGUUAGAAAAAAAAUCUAGUUCUAAGACCUGCAGAAGAAAGAGCUGAACUUCAGAGGGGACCACAAAUGAAUAUGAAUUAAGAACGGGGUUCUCUUUUCAAAAGCCAACACAAAAUGAGGACAUGUUUUAUGUAAAAGCAGCUCUUCUUGCCAGUGGGCUUCCAUGUGUCCUUCUUUCAUAUAUCACAGCCAGACCUAGGAAAUUCCCUGGGAAGUGCGCUCCACCACAGUGCCUGCAGUUUCUCCAUUUGACUGGGAUUCUGUUGCACCUUGAGAGAUUUUUUUUUUUUUUUUGAUGUUUGGGAAGCUGUUACCACAAAAAUGCCCUUCCUGCAGUGAGGAAAUAGCAUGGUACCCAGAAAGACGAAGGGAGUGGACCGGGAAAUGGGAAUCUCCUACCAGUACCAGCCUGGUGGCUUUAGAAGAAUUCUGUGUGUUUUUCCUGGCCUCAGUGGCUUCAUCUGUAAAAUGGAACAGUGUGGACAUGAAAGUGAAAACAUCUGCCAUUGUGACUAUAAAUGCUUAAGAAACGAGUCCUGCCUACCUGCCUCCUUCAGUUUUCCAUCUGUAAGGUACCACUGUAUUGGGUGCUUGCUAUUUGUGGAGCAAAAAGAAUGCUGAAGCAAGAAGGCAGCCUCGAAGGGGUGCUGUUCAGAGCCAACUUACAAUUAUGAAGGAAGCCAGAUUGAAGAAAAUGCCAAAAAGUACAAAAGGGAGGGCCAAACUGAAAGAAUUUCAGACCGUCAGAGUCUGGGCCAUGAUGCACCCAAACUUCGUGAUAUAUGAGAGAUGUUCACUGUGCCCUCAAGUGGAUUCUUCUCCACCAGUCCAAAAUUUUAUCCCAGGU